rnacentral:rRNA from 1 species
CAGCAGCCGCGGUAAUACGUAGGGUGCAAGCGUUAAUCGGAAUUACUGGGCGUAAAGCGUGCGCAGGCGGUUUGUUAAGACAGAUGUGAAAUUCCCGGGCUCAACCUGGGAACUGCAUUUGUGACUGGCAGGCUAGAGUAUGGCAGAGGGGGGUGGAAUUCCGCGUGUAGCAGUGAAAUGCGUAGAUAUGCGGAGGAACACCGAUGGCGAAGGCAGCCCCCUGGGCCAAUACUGACGCUCAUGCACGAAAGCGUGGGGAGCAAACAGGAUUAGAUACCCGCGUAGUCCCUGUCUCUUAUAC